rnacentral:rRNA from 1 species
AGCGAACGCUGGCGGCAGGCCUAACACAUGCAAGUCGAACGAACCUUUCGGGGUUAGUGGCGGACGGGUGAGUAACACGUGGGAACGUGCCUUUAGGUUCGGAAUAACUCAGGGAAACUUGUGCUAAUACCGAAUGUGCCCUUCGGGGGAAAGAUUUAUCGCCUUUAGAGCGGCCCGCGUCUGAUUAGCUAGUUGGUUGAGGUAAUGGCUCACCAAGGCGACGAUCAGUUGCUGGUCUGAGAGGAUGAUCAGCCACAUUGGGACUGAGACACGGCCCAAACGCCUACGGGAGGCAGCAGUGGGGAAUCUUGCGCAAUGGGCGAAAGCCUGACGCAGCCAUGCCGCGUGAAUGAUGAAGGUCUUAGGAUUGUAAAAUUCUUUCACCGGGGACGAUAAUGACGGUACCCGGAGAAGAAGCCCCGGCUAACUUCGUG